rnacentral:rRNA from 1 species
UUCCGGUUGAUCCCGCCGGACCCCACUGCUAUCGAGAUGGGACUAAGGUAUGCUAGUCGAACGACCAGAACUAUGUCUGGGAGUGGCACACUGCUCAGUAACACGUAGCUAACCUACCCUUAGGACGUGGAUACCCCCGAGAAAUUGGGGUUAAUCCGCGAUAGAUGUAAUGUCCUGGAAUGGUAUUACGUCUAAAGGUAUUUCAUACAUGUUUGAAAUAUGCCUAAGGAUGGGGCUGCGGCCGAUCAGGCUGUUGGUGAGGUAAUGGCUCACCAAACCUUUGACCGGUACGGGCCAUGAGAGUGGUAGCCCGGAGAUGGACACUGAGACAAGGGUCCAGGCCCUAAGGGGCGCAGCAACCGCGAAACCUCCACAAUGCACUCACGUGCGAUGGGGCUAUCUCGAGUGCCACCUGAUGAAGGUGGCUUUUCCUAGGUCUUCAAAGCCUUGGGAAUAAGAGGGGGGCAAGACUGGUGUCAGCCGCCGCGGUAACACCAGCCCCUCGAGUGGUGGGGAUGAUUAUUUGGCCUAAAGCGUCCGUAGCCGGCCGAGCAAGUCUUCCGUUAAAUCCAGCGUCUCAAGCGUUGGACUGCGGGAGAUACUGCAGGGCUAGAGAGUGGGAGAGGUCAGCGGUAUUCUGGGGGUAGGGGCGAAAUCCUUUGAUCCCCGGAGGACCACCAGUGGCGAAGGCUGCUGACUAGAACACGUCUGACGGUCAGGGACGAAAGCUGGGGUAGCGAACCGGAUUAGAUACCCGGGUAGUCCCAGCCGUAAACGAUGCAUGCUAGGUGUUGGGUUGGCCACGCG